UCUGUGUGUGUGCAACAGUGGUUUCCCAGUGUGGCUGCAUUUUGUACCUGGGAUUAAGUUUCGAACUGAUAAUGAGCCAUUUAAGGCGGAAAUGCAGAGAUUUACCACUAAGAUUGUUGAUUUGAUGAAGCAAGAAAAGCUUUAUGCAUCACAAGGAGGUCCAAUCAUUCUCUCUCAGAUUGAGAAUGAAUACGGGAAUAUUGAUUCAGCGUAUGGUGCUGCUGCGAAAAGUUAUAUCAAGUGGUCUGCUUC